GGCGCGUGGGGAAUGCGCUCCGUGUCUUCUGGACGCUAACAGUUUCUUUCUUUUAAGGAACGGUUUGGGCUAAAGAUGGACUGCGGCUGAGCCUCUUGCGCAAAGCCAGGAGUCAGGUUUCAGGUGUCCAACAUCCCAGAUCUGGACCGUCUGAAAAGUGGAGCUGCUGGCGCUUCAUUUGCGCAUUCCCGGCGAGCCAAACUUCCACUGUAAGAGCUCAGAAGAGUGGCCCUUCUCAAUUAGUGGCCUCUUUCCUUUCUUCCUACUCAUCUUUCCGGAUGCGCACCUGAUCAGUCAGAAGAUUUUAAUUGAUUGCUUCCUACUUUUUCUAUUUUGUUUCUGCGUCUAACAGAAAACCAGGCCAAGGGCAAAAUACCAAAUAAUGGACUUUAAUAAAUUAUGAAUAUGUAUAUACACUUACAUUCACAUGUGUUGGGCAACAUGUCUUUGUUAUUUUUUUAUUAAAGUUUUUUUGGUAGAUGCAUGGUUCAGUGGUUGUUUUCACAGCCUUUGUCUCCGUGCAACACAGACAACAGACAGCCACAAAAUAUGCAGAUUUCAAAAUUAUCAAAGUUGCA